rnacentral:tRNA from 1 species
GGGGUUGUGGCUCAGAGGUAGAGCGCUCCGCCUAGCAUGUGUGAGGCACUGGGUUCGAUCCUCAGCACCACA